ensembl:lncRNA
GCCUGAGGGCUCUGAGGGCAGGUGAGAGAUCUGACUGCUGGGAGGCAUCUGAGCUCAUUGCAGAGCUGUUAACUUAAUCUUCUGGAAGGGGUGGAAGCAAGGGAGGUUUCCACCACCUACACUAGAGCUGGCAGGGCCUGCAGCUCCACAACCCAACUUCUUUCUGCCUCUGGAGAAGCCUUUGUGACUCCUGGGAAGUCAUGGCCUUCGCAGCACACGGGUUCCUGCAGAGCCGUCUUACCAGCUUGAAGAUGAAUAUCUGAAGCUCUGCAAGACAGAUUAAAGCACAGGCACCAGCAGUGCACGCAAAGAAUCUAUUCCCAGGACCAUGAAAGGAUGCCAAGCCAUUCUGCUUUCAAUUACAUCACCCAGGUGGGAAUUCCCCUGCUUCUAUUGUCAAGGUUGAGAGGUGAAGUGGAAACGGAACAGCGGCGUGAGAGGAAGUUGGGCAAAGAAUCAUCAGCAAGAGAGAGACAAAACACAACAGAAGUUAACUGGCAUACAGGCACUGGAGCUGCAGGUGGCAUUUCUGGGAAUCUUUUUGGCACACAGGUGAGUUUUCAGGUAGGUGAAGGCUGGACAUGUGGGGAAAGACAGUGGAGCUCCAAUGCCAGAGCAAGAAGCAAACAGGGAGCCCUGGGAAGAGGCAACCUAAUCUCUGCCACCAAUCCUCCUCUGCAAGGGGCAUCCAGGGUGCUCUGGGCGGCUGAGCAGGAGUGUAGGGUGGGGAGGGAUUUCUGGCUGCCGGCAAAAGC